AUGUGGAGUACACCGACCACGAAAAACCUCCAUAGAUGGCGGCAGUCCUGCAGUUGUGCGUCGAGGAACUCUGCUUGGUGUACCACAUCGCCGCGGCCACAAAAUCAUGAGCCCAAGCGCCUCAAAGACUUCCUGCAGGAGGAGAAAUUGUACACAUUUGUUGGUUUCAGCAUUGGAGGUGACAAGCGGAUGCUGGAGAAGUCUGGUUUGGAAAUCAACCCCAACAACUUCAUCGACAUGCAGCGCAAGUGGAAAGAUCCAAAGACCGACAAAUACUACGACUCCUUGGCCGAUGUUGCAGGCGGCGUCAUCCACCCAUUCUACGAAGGCAUGAAGAAGAAGAUGAACAAGGAAGACCACAAACUGUGGGCAAACAGCCCGCUGCCAGACAACCUCAUCACGUACGCAGCAAUAGAUGCGUGCGCAACAUACAAGUCAUGGAAGACAAUUGACAACAUCGUGACAGGUUGGGAUAGUUCAAAAGAGCAGGAGGCUGACCCAUACUACCACUGCAACUUCACGGAUGAAGAUGCAUGA
rnacentral:rRNA from 1 species